GACGAACGCUGGCGGCGUGCUUAACACAUGCAAGUCGAACGGAAAGGCCCUGCUUGCAGGGUACUCGAGUGGCGAACGGGUGAGUAACACGUGGGUGAUCUGCCCUGCACUUCGGGAUAAGCCUGGGAAACUGGGUCUAAUACCGGAUAGGAGCCAUUUUUAGUGUGAUGGUUGGAAAGUUUUUUCGGUGUAGGAUGAGCUCGCGGCCUAUCAGCUUGUUGGUGGGGUAAUGGCCUACCAAGGCGGCGACGGGUAGCCGGCCUGAGAGGGUGGACGGCCACAUUGGGACUGAGAUACGGCCCAGACUCCUACGGGAGGCAGCAGUGGGGAAUAUUGCACAAUGGGCGCAAGCCUGAUGCAGCGACGCCGCGUGGGGGAUGACGGCCUUCGGGUUGUAAACUCCUUUCGCUAGGGACGAAGCUUUUGUAACGGUACCUAGAUAAGAAGCACCGGCUAACUACGUG
rnacentral:rRNA from 1 species